rnacentral:rRNA from 1 species
GUAGUCUGCAACUCGACUACAUGAAGCUGGAAUCGCUAGUAAUCGCGGAUCAGAAUGCCGCGGUGAGUACGUUCCCGGGUCUUGUACACACCGCCCGUCACACCAUGGGAGUCGAUAACGCCCGAAGUCAGUGACCCAACCUGUAAGGAGGGAGCUGCCGAAGGCGGGAUUGAUAACUGGGGUGAAGUCGUAACAAGGUAAC